rnacentral:rRNA from 1 species
UACGUAGGGUGCAAGCGUUGUCCGGAAUUAUUGGGCGUAAAGAGCUCGUAGGCGGUCUGUUGCGUCGGCUGUGAAAACCCGGGGCUCAACUCCGGGCUUGCAGCCGAUACGGGCAGGCUAGAGUUCGGUAGGGGAGACUGGAAUUCCUGGUGUAGCGGUGAAAUGCGCAGAUAUCAGGAGGAACACCGGUGGCGAAGGCGGGUCUCUGGGCCGAUACUGACGCUGAGGAGCGAAAGCGUGGGGAGCGAACAGG